GUUGUGUUAAACAGGUCCUCUCAGAGAGGUAGUAGGAGGAUGUUGUGUUAAACAGGUCCUCUCAGAGAGGUAGUAGGAGGAUGUUGUGUUGAACAGGUCCUCUCAGAGAGGUAGUAGGAGGAUGUUGUGUUAAACAGGUCCUCUCAGAGAGGUAGUAGGAGGAUGUUGUGUUAAACAGGUCCUCUCAGA